GAGGUUAAGCGACUAAGCGUACACGGUGGAUGCCCUGGCAGUCAGAGGCGAUGAAGGACGUGCUAAUCUGCGAUAAGCGCCGGUAAGGUGAUAUGAACCGUUAUAACCGGCGAUUUCCGAAUGGGGAAACCCAGUGUGACUCGUCACACUAUCAUUAACUGAAUCCAUAGGUUAAUGAGGCGAACCGGGGGAACUGAAACAUCUAAGUACCCCGAGGAAAAGAAAUCAACCGAGAUUCCCCCAGUAGCGGCGAGCGAACGGGGAGGAGCCCAGAGCCUGAAUCAGCAUGUGUGUUAGUGGAAGCGUCUGGAAAGGCGCGCGAUACAGGGUGACAGCCCCGUACACAAAAGCGCAUGUGCUGUGAGCUCGAUGAGUAGGGCGGGACACGUGGUAUCCUGUCUGAAUAUGGGGGGACCAUCCUCCAAGGCUAAAUACUCCUGACUGACCGAUAGUGAACCAGUACCGUGAGGGAAAGGCGAAAAGAACCCCGGCGAGGGGAGUGAAAAAGAACCUGAAACCGUGUACGUACAAGCAGUGGGAGCACCCUUUGGGGUGUGACUGCGUACCUUUUGUAUAAUGGGUCAGCGACUUAUAUUCUGUAGCAAGGUUAACCGAAUAGGGGAGCCGGAGGGAAACCGAGUCUUAAUUGGGCGUUAAGUUGCAGGGUAUAGACCCGAAA
rnacentral:rRNA from 1 species